CACUGGUCUCUACUUUUCUCAAAAGCAUAUGCCGAGUCACAAACCACCACUACAAAGAAGCACAGGUUGCCUCCUUAAACCAGGACCAGCUUACGAUGGAGCUCUCAGAACGGAACCCCAAUGAAAACCAGGAGCUCCUCAUAACAAAUUCUCUGAGUUAAAAGUUCUCCUCCGCAUCUGCACAGGGCACACAACACUCAUCGGCACCGUUACCCCACCUGCCUGCACUGAGCCAUGCCCUUGUCACGUGUGCAGAGGAACAGAGCCUCCCUCACCCAACACCUGCACAUGUGAACUCACAGUGUGUGCACACACAUAUGGGUGCACACACAUAUGCAUGCAAGUUCACAGAGAUACAGAUAUAGAUAUGUAUAGCUAUAAACAACAUAGAGAUCUUCCCUUCCCGCUUCCUGCCUGGAACUGAUAAAACUGCAGACAAGCCCAUCCCUCCGGAAACCAGGAAGCUGUAACAAAUAUUCACCACAAUUCCUCUCUGCUUAAAAAUAUUCCCAACUAGUAUGCCAUUACAGAUGGUUUCUCCAUCUUUCGAAGCUGUGCCAAGAAAUCAGUGCAGCCAGUCCCAAACAGUCACUGAGAAGAAUUCUGUCGGUGUGA